rnacentral:rRNA from 1 species
UACGUAGGGGGCAAGCGUUGUCCGGAUUUAUUGGGCGUAAAGAGCGUGUAGGCGGUCUGGUAGGUCCGUUGUGUAAACUCGAGGCUCAACCUCGAGACGCCGAUGGAAACCCUCAGACUAGAGUCCGGAAGAGGAGAGUGGAAUUCCUGGUGUAGCGGUGAAAUGCGCAGAUAUCAGGAAGAACACCCGUGGCUAAGGCGGCUCUCUAGUACGGUACUGACGCUGAGACGCGAAAGCGUGGGGAGCGAACAGG